rnacentral:rRNA from 1 species
CGGGUAGCGGAACACGUACAGAACCUUCCUUUAAGCGGGGGAUAGCCCAUAGAAAUGUGGAUUAAUACCCCAUAGUAAUAUUGAUUGGCAUCAAUUGGUAUUUAAAGAUUUAUCACUUAAAGAUGGCUGUGCGGCUGAUUAGGUAGUUGGUAGGGGUAACGGCCCACCAAGCCAUCGAUCAGUAACUGGUGUGAGAGCACGACCAGUCACACGGGCACUGAGACACGGGCCCG